rnacentral:rRNA from 1 species
ACUUGCCUCUUGGUCUGGGACAACUGUUGGAAACGACAGCUAAUACCGGAUAUUAUGAGAUUCUCGCAUGGGAAACUUAUGAAAGCUAUAUGCGCCAAGAGAGAGCCUUGCGUUCCAUUAGCUAGUUGGUGGGGUAACGGCCCACCAAGGCGACGAUGGAUAGCCGGCCUGAGAGGGUGAACGGCCACAAGGGGACUGAGACACGGCCCUUACUCCUACGGGAGGCAGCAGUGGGGAAUAUUGGACAAUGGGCCACAAGCCUGAUCCAGCAAUUCUGUGUGCACGAUGAAGGUCUUCGGAUUGUAAAGUGCUUUCAGUUGGGAAGAAGAAAGUGACGGUACCAACAGAAGAAGCGACGGCUAAAUACGUGCCAGCAGCCGCGGUAAUACGUAUGUCGCAAGCGUUAUCCGGAUUUAUUGGGCGUAAAGCGCGUCUAGGCGGAAAAAUAAGUCUGAUGUUAAAAUGCGGGGCUCAACUCCGUAUUGCGUUGGAAACUGUUUUUCUAGAGUACUGGAGAGGUGGGCGGAACUACAAGUGUAGAGGUGAAAUUCGUAGAUAUUUGUAGGAAUGCCGAUGGAGAAGUCAGCUCACUGGACAGAUACUGACGCUAAAGCGCGAAAGCGUGGGGAGCAACAGGAUUAGAUACCCUG